AUUGAACGCUGGCGGCAUGCCUUACACAUGCAAGUCGAACGGCAGCAUGAUCUAGCUUGCUAGAUUGAUGGCGAGUGGCGAACGGGUGAGUAAUACAUCGGAACGUGCCCUGUAGUGGGGGAUUACUAGUCGAAAGAUUAGCUAAUACCGCAUACGACCUGAGGGUGAAAGUGGGGGACCGCAAGGCCUCAUGCUAUAGGAGCGGCCGAUGUCUGAUUAGCUAGUUGGUGAGGUAAAGGCUCACCAAGGCGACGAUCAGUAGCUGGUCUGAGAGGACGAUCAGCCACACUGGGACUGAGACACGGCCCAGACUCCUACGGGAGGCAGCAGUGGGGAAUUUUGGACAAUGGGCGAAAGCCUGAUCCAGCAAUGCCGCGUGUGUGAAGAAGGCCUUCGGGUUGUAAAGCACUUUUGUCCGGAAAGAAAUGGCUCUGGUUAAUACCUGGGGUCGAUGACGGUACCGGAAGAAUAAGGACCGGCUAACUACGUG
rnacentral:rRNA from 1 species